UCCAAGAAAGAUUAAAGGCCCUGAAGA
rnacentral:piRNA from 1 species